UGAAUCCUACGGGGCGCAGCAGUGAGGAAUAUUGGUCAAUGGCCGAAGGGCUGAACCAGCCAAGCCGCGUGAAGGAAUAAGGCCCUACGGGUCGUAAACUUCUUUAGUCAGGGAACAAAGGGAGCCACGCGUGGCGCUGUGAGUGUACCUGAAGAAUAAGCAUCGGCUAACUCCGUGCCAGCAGCCGCGGUAAUACGGAGGAUGCGAGCGUCAUCCGGAUUUAUUGGGUUUAAAGGGUGCGUAGGCGGUUUGUCAAGUCAGCGGUAAAAAUUCCGGGCUCAACCCGGGCCCGCCGUUGCAACCGG
rnacentral:rRNA from 1 species